GAUGAACGCUGGCGGCGUGCCUAAUACAUGCAAGUUGUGCGGUAACAGAGAGAGCUUGCUCUCUGCUGACGAGCGGCGGACGGCAGAGUAACGCGUAGGAACAUACCCAAACUGAGGGAUAACUGCUCGAAAGAGUAGCUAAUACCGCAUGUGGUCUUCGGAUUAAAAGCUUCGGCGGUUUGGGAGUGGCCUGCGUCCGAUUAGCUAGUUGGUGAGGUAAUUGCUCACCAAGGCGACGAUCGGUAGCUGGUCUGAGAGGAUGAUCAGCCUGACUGGAACUGAGAACGGUCCAGACUCUACGGAGCAGCAGUAGGGAAUUUCCACAAUGGCGAAAGCCUGAUGGAGCAACGCCGCGUGCAGGAUGAAUGCCUUCGGU
rnacentral:rRNA from 1 species